rnacentral:rRNA from 1 species
AUUGAACGCUGGCGGCAUGCUUUACACAUGCAAGUCGAACGGCAGCGCGGGCUUCGGCCUGGCGGCGAGUGGCGAACGGGUGAGUAAUGCAUCGGAACGUGCCCAGUAGUGGGGGAUAGCCCGGCGAAAGCCGGAUUAAUACCGCAUACGACCUGAGGGUGAAAGCGGGGGACCGAAAGGCCUCGCGCUAUUGGAGCGGCCGAUGUCGGAUUAGCUAGUUGGUGGGGUAAAGGCUUACCAAGGCGACGAUCCGUAGCUGGUCUGAGAGGACGACCAGCCACACUGGGACUGAGACACGGCCCAGACUCCUACGGGAGGCAGCAGUGGGGAAUUUUGGACAAUGGGGGCAAGCCUGAUCCAGCCAUGCCGCGUGCGGGAAGAAGGCCUUCGGGUUGUAAACCGCUUUUGUUCGGGAAGAAAUCCUCUGGGCUAAUACCCCGGGGGGAUGACGGUACCGGAAGAAUAAGCACCGGCUAACUACGUG